rnacentral:rRNA from 1 species
GACAGAGGGGGCAAGCGUUGCUCGGAAUUACUGGGCGUAAAGGGCGCGUAGGCGGGCUGGCAAGUCGGUGGUGAAAUCCUUCGGCUCAACCGGAGAACGUCGAUCGAUACUGCUGUUCUUGAGGGUUGCAGAGGAGACUGGAAUUCCCGGUGUAGCGGUGAAAUGUGUAGAGAUCGGGAGGAACACCGGUGGCGAAGGCGGGUCUCUGGGCAAUUCCUGACGCUGAGGCGCGAAAGCGUGGGGAGCAAACGGG